AGUGAACGCUGGCGGUAGGCCUAACACAUGCAAGUCGAACGGCAGCACAGAGGAGCUUGCUCCUUGAGUGGCGAGUGGCGGACGGGUGAGGAAUACAUCGGAAUCUACUCUGUCGUGGGGGAUAACGUAGGGAAACUUACGCUAAUACCGCAUACGACCUACGGGUGAAAGCAGGGGAUCUUCGGACCUUGCGCGAUUGAAUGAGCCGAUGUCGGAUUAGCUAGUUGGCGGGGUAAAGGCACACCAAGGCGACGAUCCGUAGCUGGUCUGAGAGGAUGAUCAGCCACACUGGAACGGAGACACGGUCCAGACUCCUACGGGAGGCAGCAGUGGGGAAUAUUGGACAAUGGGCGCAAGCCUGAUCCAGCCAUACCGCGUGGGUGAAGAAGGCCUUCGGGUUGUAAAGCCCUUUUGUUGGGAAAGAAAUCCAUCUGGUUAAUACCCGGGUGGGAUGACGGUACCCAAAGAAUAAGCACCGGCUAACUUCGUGCCAGCCGCCGCCGUAAAAC
rnacentral:rRNA from 1 species